UCCGUAGGGUGCGAGCGUUGUCCGGAAUUAUUGGGCGUAAAGAGCUCGUAGGCGGUGUGUCGCGUCGGCCGUGAAAACCUGCAGCUUAACUGUGGGCUUGCGGUCGAUACGGGCAUCACUGGAGUUCGGCAGGGGAGACUGGAAUUCCUGGUGUAGCGGUGAAAUGCGCAGAUAUCAGGAGGAACACCGGUGGCGAAGGCGGGUCUCUGGGCCGAUACUGACGCUGAGGAGCGAAAGCAUGGGGAGCGAACAGG
rnacentral:rRNA from 1 species